rnacentral:rRNA from 1 species
GAUGAACGCUGGCGGCGUGCCUAAUACAUGCAAGUCGAGCGAACGGACGAGAAGCUUGCUUCUCUGAUGUUAGCGGCGGACGGGUGAGUAACACGUGGAUAACCUACCUAUAAGACUGGGAUAACUUCGGGAAACCGGAGCUAAUACCGGAUGAUAUUUUGAACCGCAUGGUUCAAAAGUGAAAGACGGUCUUGCUGUCACUUAUAGAUGGAUCCGCGCUGCAUUAGCUAGCUGGUAAGGUAACGGCUGACCAAGGCAACGAUGCGUAGCCGACCUGAGAGGGUGAUCGGCCACACUGGAACUGAGACACGGUCCAGACUCCUACGGGAGGCAGCAGUGGGGAAUCUUGCGCAAUGGGCGAAAGCCUGACGGAGCAAUGCCGCGUGAGUGAUGAAGGUCUUCGGAUCGUAAAACUCUGUUAUUAGGGAAGAACAUAUGUGUAAGUAACUGUGCACGUCUUGACGGUACCUAAUCAGAAAGCCACGGCUAACUACGUG